rnacentral:ncRNA from 1 species
GAUGCCGAACUUAAGCAUAUCAUUUAGCGGAGGAAAAAAGAAACUAACAAGGAUUCCCUUAGUAACGGCGAGUGAACGGGGA